UGCGUAGGUGGUGAGGUAAGUCGGAUGUGAAAGCUCGGAGCUCAACUCCGAAAUGGCAUUGGAAACUACCUUGCUCGAGGGUUGGAGGGGGGACUGGAAUACUUGGUGUAGCAGUGAAAUGCGUAGAUAUCAAGUGGAACACCAGUGGCGAAGGCGAGUCCCUGGACAACUCCUGACACUGAGGCACGAAAGCUAGGGGAGCAAACA
rnacentral:rRNA from 1 species